AACGUGUUGUCUCUGCAGCCUCUAGAUGGAGAAACCAUUGUUGCGGGCACCUUACUAAACUGGUGAACCCUAUAUCAUAGUCAGCUGGAUACACCUUCCUGAGAUUCUCCGACUUACACAACCGUAGGAACAAAAUCGUCAAGUAGCCUAGAAGGAUGGGAAGAGACGUGUUGUCUCUCGCAGCCUGCUAGAUGGAGAACCCAUCUGUUUGAGGGCACCUUACUAAACUGGUGAACCCUAUAUCACUAUGUCAGCUGAUACACCUUCCUGAGAUUCUCCGACUUACACAAUCGUAGGAACAAAAUAGUCAAGUAGCCCUAGAAUGUGAGGGAGAGAACGUGUUGUCUCUGCAGCCUUCUAGAUGGAGAACCCAUCUGUUUGAGGGCACCUUACUAAACUGGUGAACCCUAUAUCACUAUGUCAGCUGAUACACCUUCCUGAGAUUCUCCGACUUACACUACCGUAGGAACAAAAUAGUCAAGUAGCCCUAGAAGCAGGAAUACUCAUCAUUUAGAUGUGUUUUGCUUCGUAAGUCACGAACAUGUUACGCAUACAAAUUUCGCUAAUUUGUUCUUGUUGUGUGUUCUUUCUAGUAAGAAAAUAUUGUAUCAUUUGUUUUCUUUUGAGUUCACAACUGAGUGCAUCUGUCCAUACAUGGUCGAUAGCUGUUGUGGGAGGUUCAAUUGCUAUUUAAUGGAGUUUUGGUGACAGCAUUUUUUUUUUUUUUGACAGUCAAUUACCUCGAUACCUGUCUCUUUUUUUUUAAAUUUAAUUUCAGUAAUGGAAAAGUGCUACAUAUUUCUUCGGCAACUCAAUUACCAAUCCACCACAGUUGCUGAUGCCCAGUUGUUGGCUAAGGUUGAAGCGGUUUUGGAGACGUAACCGUAGUUUUCUGCUUUUCUAUGUAUCAUCGGUCUCAUCUAGUCCAUCCGCCAUGCUCUGUUGUCGAUUGCACUACUACCUUUAUGCUACCCUUUCUCCAGCAUUUCUUGAUGGAGUGUGUAUAAAAUUCUCUUCGGGCAUAUAUAGUGAACUUCGGUGAUACCUUUUCUUCCCCUUUUCCAUUACUGAUGUGAAAUCUAUAAUCGAAGAAAUGUAACAAGUUUUUACAGCUGAAGGGGUGUUUGUCAAAUUUUAUUUUAUUUUAUAUUUUUUUACGGUAGUUGUAUUUUUUUUAGGAAAUUUUACCACACCUUUGUUCUCUACUUAUGGGAUAAAAGAUGUUUGUUGUGGUUGAACUUCAUGUUAAAAAUUAAUUAUUUAAGGACAAAAACCGAACUCUAUGUAAAGUUAUUUUUAACUUGUAAGCAGAAAAAGAAUUUAUGAUGUUGUAAGUUGGUACGGAAGAAUUUCUGCCUCGCGGGAAAUCUUGCUCUAUACAGAUGCUAAGAUUGUAUUUGGAUUAAAAAUUGCGGAUAAAUUUAUAAAAGGGAAAGAAAACUCUUCACAAAAUGAAAGUGCGUUUCUUUUACCUUUCCUUUUAUCUUAAUAAAUUUUUGAUCCAAAUCUAGCCUAAUGAGUUUUUUCAUCAUUUAGAUCUAUGGACGCCUCAUUUUUUACUGCCCAAGUGAUCAUUUAAUUCGGGGUGGACUUGAUUUUCUACGUCGAUUAAUAUUCUUAAUAAAUCUAAAUUAAUAUUCUUAAUAAAUCUAAAAAAUAAACGAAUCAAAUUAUAAAAAUAAAUCAAUAUUGAGUCUGCCAAAAAAACACUGCAAUAACCCG
rnacentral:lncRNA from 1 species